AUUGAACGCUGGCGGCAGGCCUAACACAUGCAAGUCGAGCGAGCGGCGGACGCGGGAGUAAUGUCUGGGAAACUGCCUGAUGGAGGGGGAUAACUACUGUAAACGGUAGCUAAUACCGCACACUAUCAGAGGUGCCCAGAUGGGAUUAGCUAGUAGGUGGGGUAACGUCUCACCUAGGCGACGAUCCCUAGCUGGUCUGAGAGGAUGACCAGCCAAACUGGAACUGAGACACGGUCCAGACUCCUACGGGAGGCAGCAGUGGGGAAUAUUGCACAAUGGGCGCAAGCCUGAUGCAGCCAUGCCGCGUGUAUGAAGAAGGCCUUCGGGUUGUAAAGCACUUUCAGCGGGGAGGCGUUACCCGCAGAAGAAGCACCGGCUAACUCCGUGCCAGCAGCCGCGGUAAUAC
rnacentral:rRNA from 1 species